GUGCAUCGUCAUUCCUAAUUUAGGAAUGACGAUGCACUGGAUAGACAGCAUUGCUUUAAAACGUGAGAAAAAAAGUUGCAUAGGUAUCCUAAGUAACUUUUGUUGUUGGCGGACACAUAAUCCAGGGAGGACUCAAAUCAGUUUGUGCAUGUAUGACACCUAAUAAGGAAGGGAGCCGGACAUAUUCCCAUCCUUGUGAAACGUUUGCAGCAAUCACAUCUAUAAGACUACUGAAAUAUCCAUGCAAUAUGUAUUCUAGCAUACAUUUUGCCAUUUUCAAACACACACCGGCUCGUUAUUCUCUUAAAGACACACACACACACACACACACACACACACACACACACACACACACACACACACACACACACACACACACACACACACACACACACACACACACACACACACACACACACACCAGCAGUGCAAUACAGUUGACCUUUUACAUUUCUGUUUUUUUCUUACGUUUCUUUAUGUCCUGAUCUGUCUAUUAAAAAAUAUUUUCACUGCACAUGCAUUUUCUAGUUAACAAUUACGCCUAUUCGAAGAGAACGAAGGUCGAGGGAGCUAUUCUUCACUAUUCACAGAGUCCGAGUUGAAUAAUUGUUUUAGUAUACCUAUACUACACGUGAUCACUCCAAAAAUAAACAAGAUAUCCCUUUUUGCCGGGAUUUAUUUGUUUUUAUUAGCGUGACGAGACGACCGUAGCAAUAUCCCGAGUUUGAGAUCCCAAUCACGGGAUUUUGCCCAAUAUCCCAAGAUAGUGAACCAAUCAAAUUGCGCACUCUUAGGAGGUUCACGUGUAGCAUAUACAAUAUCUCAUGGUGAACUUAUUAAAGGUUUUCAGUAAGAAAGGAUAAAGUUGGGUGAUGUCAGUUUUCAAUAAAUUGGCGCAUUUUAUUCAGCUUUGUUUUUAUUUUUUUAUGUUUUACUUAUAGUAACUGUUUCAGUAACAAUUUUAUGUGGCUAUUGUAACUUUACUCUUGUAUUGUGUAUUUAAUGUAUGUAGUAAUGUAAGGGAACCCAAUAAUAUGAAUUCUGAUGUUCUAAUUCAAUAUCCUCAAUAUUUUAGGGGGGGGUGGGGGGAUUCACAUUUUUCAUCAUUGGGUUUUCUUAUAACUUUUCAUAGCGGUCAGUUUUUCUGACACAAAUACAAAUACGAGGUGGGUAAUUUGUAUUGCUUAUGAUUUAUUUUAACAGUGACAUAGCUCAUCGCAUUGCUCCAGGCCAGUGGACAGUCAAGUUUGGUAGAGACAUCAAGGAUUUUCAUCACCAAACCACUGGAAAUAAUUGUGGUAUCUACACAUACUUAUGAAUGCACUCAGCCUGAGCACAGAUGCUCCAUUUUGGUGUACUGAGAGAGACAUGGCACACAUCAGGAAAUGGUGGUGCAUUAAUUUGAUGGAACGGUUCCAGAUUGAUGGCCACGGACAGAGGUUUGGAUACUGGACAAAUGAGGCCACAGCAUUGCUCCAAGGAUCAUUGCAGCCGAUCUACAGGAUCCCGAAGAGCAGAAAAAGGAAUCAUGAGGUGAGCAUGAUGUUGGUGGCAGAGGACACCCAGUGUCAUGCUCCUUUUUGUUAUAGACUCAUUGUAACGACCCAGGUGGGUCUCUCAAGACUCCGCCCAUUUGCGCUGGUUGCCUGUUCUGUCACCUCCCCUUGUGUGCAGGUCUCAGGUGUGUGCAAUGACCCUGCUGAUUGGGGAGUGUAGAAAAGACCUGCCGUGCCAACAUCCGGGGCUCUGUCCUCUCCUCCGCUGGCUUUAGGCUUUUGUUUGGUUGUUCCCAUGACUGAUCUCACACCACACUUUUGGUUACAUUACAUAUUACUGACUUACACCACACCCCAUUAACAGAUACAAUAGGUCAGAUGACUAUAGUUGAAUAGUUAUGUUCAUCACUGAAAACUCAUCAGUAGUAGCCUUCGUUAGCAUACCAUUCUGUGGUUUUGCGAGAGUAGGAUGUCAACUAUUGUUUUUUUUGCCAAGUACAGACACAAAUUAUUUUUCUUUCUUCAAGGCGGAUGAUGUUUUCCUGAAGGACACAAUUGAGGCAGCAGCAUGGUGCCAGUUGCAGUCCUUCACCGACCACGUUUCUCUCCCGAUGGUCAUUAUGAUGGAAGGUGCAGAGCAGCAGGCAGCAUUAGCAGAGCUGAAAUCCGUUGACCGCAGUUGCCCGGAAGAAAGCCCAAACAGGAUUGAACCGUUCCAGUUCGUCUUCAAUUCAAAGAAGGACUACGAAAUGUUCUGUGUGGAGAUGUUUGACCGGAGAAAGCUGAAAGUGUUUGCUUCUUGGGAGUAGCGACAUUUGACCUAUUGUUUUAAUUUUUUUGUUCUCGUUCAUUGGUCAGCUGUCAAAAAACUGCCUGACGUCGGGUGCUUUUUCUUGGCGAGUUCAAUUUAUCCCAACUUGAAAACCACCCAGAGCAGUGGAAAAAACCCGCUGGCAGCGGUGUUUUUAAAAGCACCCAGGAUGUUUUUACAAAAACACCCUGUAUCAUAGGAACAGGGGCGCCGCUAGGGAUUUUGGGCCCCAUGAAAAGAAUGAAACUUAGUGUCAUUAUUUUUUCUGUAUUAUAAUUUCAUCAUCAUUAGCGGCCUCUCUGGGCCCCCCUCCAUCAUGGGCCCCUAGAAUCCGUCUCCUUUACCCCCCCUUUUCGGCGCCCCUGCAUAGGAAUAUAAUGUAAAACAUCCACCCGCACCUGAAAAAAAAACUGCCUGUGUGAAAACCCCCUAAGGGAUAAAGUAUAGAACGCUGGUCAUUAUCAGGAAAAUAAGCCCUGACAGGGCGAACCUGACGCGAAGCGGGGCUGUCUUGCUUCACCCUGAACGGGUUUAUUUUCAAUAAUGACCGGUGUAAGUCUAUGGGUGUAAGUACCAUAUUGGCUCGGCUGCCAGAUCCAUAGACAUCUUAUAGAUGCCUUUGUAAUUGUAAUA